rnacentral:rRNA from 1 species
AACGAACGCUGGCGGCAUGCCUAACACAUGCAAGUCGAACGAGACCUUCGGGUCUAGUGGCGCACGGGUGCGUAACGCGUGGGAACCUGCCCUUGGGUUCGGAAUAACUCCCCGAAGGGGUUCCUAAUCCGGGAUAAUUUCUUCGGACCAAAGAUUUAUCGCCUUUGGAUGGGCCCGCGUUGGAUUAGCUAGUUGGUAGGGUAAAAGCCUACCAAGGCGACGAUCCAUAGCUGGUCUGAGAGGAUGAUCAGCCACACUGGGACUGAGACACGGCCCAGACUCCUACGGGAGGCAGCAGUGGGGAAUAUUGGACAAUGGGCGAAAGCCUGAUCCAGCAAUGCCGCGUGAGUGAUGAAGGCCUUAGGGUUGUAAAGCUCUUUUACCCGGGAUGAUAAUGACAGUACCGGGAGAAUAAGCUCCGGCUAACUCCGUG